rnacentral:tRNA from 1 species
GACAACGUGGCCGAUGGUCUAAGGCGUGUGACUCGAAAUCACUUCUCCUAUGGAGGCGUAGGUUCAAAUCCUGCCGUUGUCGU